UACGUAGGGGGGCUAGCGUUAUCCAGAAUUACUGGGCGUAAAGCGCGUGUAGGCGGCUGGUUAAGUGUGAUGUGAAAUCUUCGGGGCUCAACCCGAAAACUGCAUUGCAAACUGGCCUGGCUAGAGUGCAGGAGAGGGAAGCGGAAUUCCAGGUGUAGCGGUGAAAUGCGUAGAUAUCGGGAGGAACACCUGUGGCGAAAGCGGCUCACUGGACCACAACUGACGCUGAUGCACGAAAGCUAGGGGAGCAAACAGG
rnacentral:rRNA from 1 species